UCUCGAUUGGUCUAGUGGUAAGGAUACCUGCUUGUCAUUUAAUGUGUUGGUUCAUUAGUAGCAAAGCGCAGGUGGCCGGGGUUCGAUUCCCCGAUCGAGAG